GAUGAAGAACGCAGCGAAAUGCGAUACGUAAUGUGAAUUGCAGAAUUCAGUGAAUCAUCGAGUCUUUGAACGCACAUUGCGCCCCCUGGUAUUCCGGGGGGCAUGCCUGUCCGAGCGUCAUUGCUGCCCUCAAGCACGGCUUGUGUGUUGGGCCUCCGUCCUCCUCCCGGGGGACGGGCCCGAAAGGCAGCGGCGGCACCGCGUCCGGUCCUCGAGCGUAUGGGGCUUCGUCACCCGCUCUUGUAGGCCCGGCCGGCGCUUGCCGACACAUCAAUCUUUUUUUCAGGUUGACCUCGGAUCAGGUAGGGAUACCCGCUGAACUUAAGCAUAUCAAUAAGCGGAGA
rnacentral:misc_RNA from 1 species